UGUUCGCGAACAACAGCAAAAAAAAUCCCAAAUAAUGGUGAAAUGGAUCACACCAGCACGGGCGGAGAAUUUGGAAAGGAGCUAGUUCAGAAAUUAUCAGCUGCAACAGCGCCCAAAAACUUCUUCCCCAUCCCAACACCCCUGGAGAAAUGCAUGCAGAACCUGACGCGUCAGAAGGAAGGGCGAGCUGGAGAGGGGAAACCUUCUGCUAGCCAGAAGGGUUGCUUCUAGGAAGGAGCUCAGCGACUUCCAAGAAAAAAGACCCCAGACGUGGAAAUGGCUCUCAUAAAGCCCAUGUCGUAUGGCUUGUCGCGUAGAAGUAAACGCUGCACUGGACACCUACGGCUCCCGAAAUCACCGGAUCCUGCUCCCACUGCAGAAACCUAAGGAGUUUGCAUGGUGGGAAGCGCCGUUUACUUGUUUGUUUGCUUGUUUGUUCUAUUUAUAGACAUUUCUGCCGAGCUCAUCCCCGGAGCAUCUGCAUGCCCACUGGAGUGAGAUCUGAUUUCCGAGGCAAGCUCCAUCCUUAUUCAGCCGCAGCAUUUUGGAAAAGUCUGCUAAAGAAAGAGUGAACGCGAUCCAUGCCGUGCGCAGCCUUCGGUGCUCCUGCUAGGGACUCGAGUGUGGUUUUCUUUCCCCCACUACGCUUUCACAUAGCAACGCGAAACAAUUAAACUGGCCUGAAAGCCACCCGAGGCUGCAGUGACGAACUGAAAUGCUCUGUGUUUGUCAAAGGGUUUCAGAAAACAGGUGAAGAAUUAAGAUAGGAAUUAAUGCCCUGCUUAUCGCAUGUAAAUGAAAUAUUUAAUCUGCCAUUUCAUCUCUUAUGUGUGCUCGAACACCUCCAAAAGUUCUUUGAACAAAUAUUUAGUUUCCAAGCUAUAAAUUCGUCUUAUGCAAAGAGAAGGCUUUUAGGAUCUCCAGUUUAAACUCGUUCUUACUGCUUGUUGUGGUGCUGAGAAUUAUCCAGCCGGUCAGCUUACCUUUCCCAGGAGUGGUAAUUAAAAGAGAACUUGGGAAGGGGGGAUAAAAGGAAGAAUAAUAGCAUUCAGAAAAAUGGAAGCUCACCAGUUGUGACUAGCAUCCUUGCUAGUUCAUUUAUUUCUUCACUUAACUCCUGUUCUUCUCUCCAAUACCCCUACAGCUGCUCUGUUUUUAGAGCAACUCUGCAGCAUUUUGAGAGCCUUUAAAAAUGUCACUCUGAGAAAGAAAAAUAGAGAAGUUCAAUUAUUAAGGACUGAAACUGCUCAGGUAUUCCCUAGUCUGGCAGAGGAGUUGUCUAAAACGAGAGCUGCUUCAUCAUAUUCUCUCCUGAGAUUCAAGGAGAGCACUUGGGGAUUGACUCGUCUUUUUGCACACUGGGCUGAGAUGAGAUGGGGUGGGAAAGGGAGAGGCAAAGGAGGAUCCUUCUGAAAAACUUCUCUGGAGGUAAGGUCUCCCUUCUUCCAGGGAGGAAGAAGCUGGCCGUGGUGACAUGGAGUUAGUGGCAUCUGACAGGCAGGUGGGGGCCCAUUGCCAGGCUUUAGGUGGGGGGUAAAGGGGGCAGCAGGAGCCUUUCCCAGUGGCCCUACGCUACUUAGACAGCAUUUAUGGAUGGAUAAAGCUGAACAUUGGACAGGACACCCUUAAGGAAAAGAACCUUUCAGUGGAGCCAUCAACCUGUCAUCACUGCAAUAAAGGUGUAACACACAAGAGUGCUGGUAAGAGC
ensembl:lncRNA